rnacentral:lncRNA from 14 species
GCACUUUAUUGUGGCUUUUUUUCUGUCCCAUGAAUGCUGGGAAAGAAUGUUAGGAAGGCAGUUAGUUGUGAGAACACUUUCCCUCUCCUGUUGGUUCAGUUCCUAAAAUCUGGUGAUGUUUUAAACCCCCAGGAAGAGGAACAAGCAAAAUUCUAUUAUUUCUCUUUGGGCCUUAAAGGCUAAAGGCUGGAGGAUUUCUGAAAGGAAGCUAAUCCUCCCUCCUGGUCAGCCACAGGAGUGAAAAGGAUAGUGCUAAUUCUGUGCCCUGUUUUGCUUUUCCACUUUUCUUUUUCACUUUUCUCUUUGAAGCAAAUGACCCAGGGCAAAACACGGCUGUGAAGGUUUACAGCUACCCUUGGAGUUGAAGUGGAGUCACCACCGUGUUGCUGAGAGCUCCGCUAUGCUGGUAGAGCAUGGAGGGGAAACAGGAUGCGUGUUCAAGAUAUAUCCACAAACCCUGCACAAAACCACUCGUGUUUCUCAAACACAACUACUCGGCUAUGAAGCUGUGGGUGAGUGAAUGAGCUCCUUGAAGAUGACUUUCAAUCAAACCUUAGCUGAAGAUGAAAAAAAGGACAACCAAACAACAAACUUAUAGAAUGCCAGUUCCAAAAGGAUGCAAAGAGUAUGGGCAUGUGCAGUCGGAGGAGUUUCUGCUGUUGUUCUGCGGUUUGACUAUGCCAAAGCCUUGCUACAGCCAAGGCUGGCAAGCAGAUGGCAGCAACCACUGACCAUCAGCAAAGGCGAGAUGGGAAACGCUGGCCUACAGUGACCUUCGACUGGGCUUGAAAUUCCUCGGUUUGUCUUUGGAUCCCCAUCACUGAAUAGCUCACGUCACUCCUGUGCAAUAAUUGCAGUGUUUUCACAUGUGCUCUUCUGUUUCAAAUCGUCUCACUCUUAUAUUGAUCUAAUCUUUUCUUCAGUAAUCAAAACUAAUUUCACAUCCCAAAGAAGCUUUGGAGGGGAGAUCUGUGACCACAAACAGUAACGUGAAACCACCCAGAUGCAGAUAAAUUGCCAUUCUCCCUCACUGCACAGAGAAAUUGCAUCCUAAUAGUAUAGCAAUUACCUUGUUUCCAUGGUGAUGUGUGUGUAUGAGAGAGAGCUAUAAAUAAUGUUUUGAUGUUUAUAAACAAUUUCGUUUAGACUGAAUUAUGCAUACUGUUUGUAUGCUAAUAUCCAGGAUGCACUUCUAGUUAUUUCACAGCAAUCAAAGAGCAAGCAGAAAGCUGAAAGUCCUCACUUAUAUCCAAAGGAAAAACUACAUGAGCUGAAUUUAUCUCCUUAUCGUAAUGUAUGCACGUACUAGAAAGAAAACCUUAUAGAAUUAACAGGUUUUUUUCUGCCCAUCAUAAUUAGUCUACUGGGGGUUUGUCCCAGAAGGUAAUAAACAUUAAGGUUACAAUUCA